CAGCACCUCAAGUGGUCAGGAUGAUUAUUGGGCCUAAAGCAUCCGUAGCCGGCGCUGUAAGUUUUCGGUUAAAUCUGUACGCUCAACGUACAGGCUGCCGGGAAUACUGCAGCGCUAGGGAGUGGGAGCGGUAGACGGUACUCGGUAGGAAGGGGUAAAAUCCUUUGAUCUAUUGAUGACCACCUGUGGCGAAGGCGGUCUACCAGAACACGUCCGACGGUGAGGGAUGAAAGCUGGGGGAGCAAACCGGAUUAGAUACCCGAGUAGUCC
rnacentral:rRNA from 1 species